UCAUUCAAAAAAAUCAAAAUCCCUUCAAGAUCAUUCAAAUUUAUACAUGUUCACAUUAUUGGAUGUUCAUCAAGUUUUCAUUCAAAUGGCAUUCUUAGAAAAUUGCAAAUUCAAGGUCCUCAUCACGAUACAAAGUUCAAUGCAUUCAAAGGUUCUGAUACAAUGUCAUGUUACAAGUUGCAAAAUGCAAUGCAUAUUAACAAAGCUAUCAAAUUUGGAAGAUUCAUUACAUUCCCAGCCAUUACACCAUGUUACAUUAUUGAGAUGAAAAUGUACAAAAGAAAACUGCAACUUUGCGAUGUUAAAGCUAGCUUCCAACAUAGUUCCAUCUACUCGAUAUCAUACCCGACCAUAAAAACCUACAUCAAGUCAGAAUAA